GAUGAACGCUGGCGGCGUGCCUAAUACAUGCAAGUCGAGCGAACGGACGAGAAGCUUGCUUUUCUGAUGUUAGCGGCGGACGGGUGAGUAACACGUGGAUAACCUACCUAUAAGACUGGGAUAACUUCGGGAAACCGGAGCUAAUACCGGAUAAUAUUUUGAACCGCAUGGUUCAAAAGUGAAAGACGGUCUUGCUGUCACUUAUAGAUGGAUCCGCGCUGCAUUAGCUAGUUGGUAAGGUAACGGCUUACCAAGGCAACGAGGCAUAGCCGACCUGAGAGGGUGAUCGGCCACACUGGAACUGAGACACGGUCCAGACUCCUACGGGAGGCAGCAGUAGGGAAUCUUCCGCAAUGGGCGAAAGCCUGACGGAGCAACGCCGCGUGAGUGAUGAAGGUCUUCGGAUCGUAAAACUCUGUUAUUAGGGAAGAACAUAUGUGUAAGUAACUGUGCACAUCUUGACGGUACCUAAUCAGAAAGCCACGGCUAACUACGUG
rnacentral:rRNA from 1 species